rnacentral:rRNA from 1 species
GACGAACGCUGGCGGCGUGCCUAAUACAUGCAAGUCGAACGCAGUGGGGACGGGUGAGUAACACGUGGGUAACCUCCCAUCAGAGGGGAUACCACUUGGAAACAGGUGCUAAACCGAUACUGAUGGAUGGACCCGCGGUGCAUUAGCUAGUUGGUGAGGUAACGGCUCACCAAGGCCACGAUGCAUAGGCGACCUGUGAGGUGUAGCGGCCACACUGGGACUGAGACACGGCCCAGACCACUACGCGAGGCAGCAGUAAGGAAACUUCGGCAAGGGACGAAAGGCUGGCCGAACAACGCCACGUGAGUGAAGAAGGGUUGCGGAUCGUAAAACUCUGUUGUUAGAGAAGCGGUAUCUAACCAGAAAGCCACGGCUAACUACGUGCCAGCCGCCGCGGUAAUUC